AAGCUGAGAUAAUCCUGGGGAACAUCAUCAAGAAAAAGUGCUGGAGGAGAUCCAGUCUGGUGAUCACCACCAAGCUCUACUGGGGUGGAAAAGCCGAAACCGAGAGAGGACUCAACAGGAAGCACAUCAUUGAAGGU